rnacentral:rRNA from 1 species
AUUGAACGCUGGCGGCAUGCUUUACACAUGCAAGUCGAACGGUAACAGGCCGCAAGGUGCUGACGAGUGGCGCACGGGUGAGUAAUGCAUCGGAACGUGCCCAGUCGUGGGGGAUAACUACUCGAAAGAGUAGCUAAUACCGCAUACGAUCUAUGGAUGAAAGCGGGGGACCGUAAGGCCUCGCGCGAUUGGAGCGGCCGAUGUCAGAUUAGGUAGUUGGUGGGGUAAAGGCUCACCAAGCCAACGAUCUGUAGCUGGUCUGAGAGGACGACCAGCCACACUGGGACUGAGACACGGCCCAGACUCCUACGGGAGGCAGCAGUGGGGAAUUUUGGACAAUGGGCGCAAGCCUGAUCCAGCAAUGCCGCGUGCAGGAAGAAGGCCUGCGGGUUGUAAACUGCUUUUGUACGGAACGAAACGGCUCUGGUUAAUACCCGGGGCUAAUGACGGUACCGUAAGAAUAAGCACCGGCUAACUAC